rnacentral:rRNA from 1 species
UACAGAGGCCUCGAGCGUUAGGCGGAAUCACUGGGCUUAAAGCGUGUGUAGGCGGAUCGUUAAGUACCUUGUGAAAUCCCACGGCUCAACCGUGGAACUGCUUGGUAUACUGGUCGUCUUGAGCCACCUAGGGGCAACCGGAACAAACGGUGGAGCGGUGAAAUGCGUAGAUAUCGUUUGGAACGCCAAUGGUGAAAACAGGUUGCUGGGGGUGUGCUGACGCUGAGACACGAAAGCCAGGGGAGCAAACGGG